rnacentral:rRNA from 1 species
UACAGAGGUCCCAAGCGUUGUUCGGAUUUACUGGGCGUAAAGGGUGCGUAGGUGGUCGGGUAAGUCUCAUGUGAAAUCUCCAAGCUUAACUUGGAAAUGGCAUGGGAUACUAUUCGGCUAGAGGAUUGGAGGGGGGACUGGAAUUCCCGGUGUAGCAGUGAAAUGCGUAGAUAUCGGGAGGAACACCAGUGGCGAAGGCGAGUCCCUGGACAAUUCCUGACGCUGAGGAGCGAAAGCGUGGGGAGCGAACAGG